CAGGAACGUCAGAGUAUGUGCGCGUGGUUGAUAGAAGAUGCAAACACAGCACUUGGCACAUCAACCGCUGAUCAUGUGAACAGAGACAGUCUUUGAAAUGCUGGACACCAACUCCACACUAGCAUGGCUAGCUGACUGCUCAAGAAUAAUUCAGUAAGUAUGAAUAUAUUUGUAGGAUUUGAGGUUCUCACAGCAGUGGUUAUGAAGAGCAGAGCUCUGCCUGCCACCUGCUUUCUUGCUCAGCUUCCUUCAAGAUGGAGGAAACUUGUUCCUCCAAAAUGUUGGUUGACUUUCAAUGGACUACACAGUAUUCUAUCCCAGAAAGCUAGAACUUAUGAUAAUCUUUAUACUGUCUACUGGUUGACAAUGACAAUGUUUCUAUUAAAGUUAAGCCCUUACUGUACAAGUAAUGUUUGAUGCUUUAUGAAGGAAGCUCUGAUCAAGUUUCUGACCAGAGAUGGGAAGUCAUUCCCAAGUUAAGUAAUCUUGCUGUAGGUGAAGAUAGCUGUUGCUAUGUCACGUCCACCUUUAUGUUUCAUGACAGGUGAGUUAAGAUUAAAGGCAUGGGAAUUAAUUGACCCUUGCACAAUGAUCAUUCACGAUCCAGUGUGCAUCCUAUUUCUAAGCUUAGCCCCAUAGUCGUCCUCCACUUCAUAUGAAGUGCAGUACUUUGCAUUUGAUAGUCACUUGGCUUCAUAAAAUAGAAUCCUUAGUGACAAAACCUUAAUCUAAAACCUCACAGGAUGUGUGUGAGGCUUUCAUGAGAGGUAAGAACUGUUGCACUUGAGAUAUCUGUUACUAUACUGAGGUCAUGGAAAGAAGUCCCAUGGAUAGUUUGGGCUACAGGUGCUUCAGACUUCCAAUUUCCACCUACCACUGUAUUCCCUUCUAGCCUAUACCAAUGAACCCAUAGUUACUUUCUGAGCACUGAAGGAUGAAGGUAAUUUCCUUUGCUUAGCUACCAGUGGUGUGGGCUGCCUCUAAUACAGUUCCCUCACUCGUCCCCACUAUCCAUCUUCAGGGCUCAGUUACAUGCUAGCAAAGGUUAUACCAUCAACAUUCAUGUGAACUGAAUGGCUGAACAAGUGGAGGCGAACAGAGGGGAAGUAUGAAAGAGGACAUGACAGCUCAGGGAGGUGGCUGAUCCACAGGACUUCUUUUUGUGGCCUCAGUUAGGCAAACAUUUUCACGUAAAAAAACAGGCAAGGAAUUACAUCCUUAUGGAUUGUAUAUCCAGCCACAAUAAGUGAAGACUAUUUGAAUAUAUGGCAGUGACACUUAUUAUUGAGAUCUGAAUACAUGCCAAUAUGAAGUACUGGUCUCGACUAUAUACACUCUUACAAAUCUAAGAUAACUAAAAUGCUUUACCUUAAUAACUGUGCUUCUUAAUCCAUGUAUGUAGUAAGACAGGAAUUGCUGUAAAAUAAAUGUAAAUCCACUCACAUAUUCUAAAAUAAACAUUUUAUAAAAAUGAUAUAAAAAUACAAAUUUAAUUUAAAACCUUCACAGAUAAAAGGUGACUAUGCACUGAAAUUAAAAUGCAAAUAAAAGCUUACUGGAAGCGUAAGAUUACUAACAUCUGGUUUGUGCAACCUGAUACCAACACUACAGCCCCAAAACGAAGUGUAAUUCCGACUGACUACAACAUACAAAUAUUAAUUUCACUACAAAUGAAGCUCAACAACAUUUAUGCCUGUAGUUGAAAUCAUUUAUUUUUUUUGACAUGUGGUAGAGUUAGUGCAUCCUAGCAUAAUUCACAUAAGACUACUAUACUACACAUAUAAAAUCUAAGACAUUACUUCCUUUUCUUGAAUCCUAAGCACUGUCUGCAUGCACAAUGUCAAAUACAAAGAGUGGGAAGGUUGUCCAUUACAAGCCAAGGGAGUGGAGACGUGGGGCAUGAAAUUAACAUGAAGGGAUGGCAGUGCAAUGACAUCUCCUCAACUAUCCCCAAAAAGAAAGUUCUUCAUUUCAAAAUAUUUUGUCUCAAAAAAUGGACUGACAUUUUGUACUAAUUAGAAAAACAUACAAACUUCUGCUAUUAUCUCAGAUGUGUAUCACAGUGAAGGUGCUCCUACCAUAUCUACAAAUGCUGAUCUGAAAUUCUAGACUGUCAAAAAUUCAUUAUUAGUUGGUCACAUACUGUGUUACACCCCAGAGGUUAUGCAGAUAGCUUUGUCUGUUUCCAAAACCAUCAUCCAUUUUUAACUGUUAUUUGUACAUAAAAUAAAAUGUAGCUUUCUGUGGGGAUGAUGGGGAUUUCUUUUGUUUUAAAAUGAGUGGUGCAGUCUCCUCUGCGCACAACACACACUAUUUUAUGGCCCCA